GCGUCGGUGUGCAAUGGUUCGAGCAGGCGCUCCCGCAUAGGGUGAAAUGUGGGUUCGAGUCCCAGUCGACGCA